rnacentral:rRNA from 1 species
UACAGAGGUCCCAAGCGUUGUUCGGAUUCACUGGGCGUAAAGGGUGCGCAGGUGGCGCUUCAAGUUUGAUGUGAAAGCUUCGGGCUUAACCCGGAAAUGGCAUUGAAUACUGCAGUGCUAGAGUGUGGAAGGGCAAUCGGAAUUCUUGGUGUAGCGGUGAAAUGCGUAGAUAUCAAGAGGAACACCUGAGGUGAAGACGGUUGCUGGGCCAACACUGACGCUGAUGCGCGAAAGCCAGGGAGCAAACGGG